AUGCGAACUGUAGACGACUCCGCGUCCGGCAAAGCGAACGGUCUUGGGACGUUUUCGCGUGAAUGACUGCCCUGCGUGCCGAUGCGGUUUGGGCAGGUCCGAAACUGGUAUUUAUCACCGUUCAUUCCGGUCCUAGGUACUUUUUCGACGUGCCCGCCGGCGGCUCUGCCCGGACCAAGAGAGAUAACGGCGUUUCUAACAACAACAGAUCUGUGUGUAGCGAGCAGAGAGGAUCUGCAAGCUACCUAAGUGUGAGGAUUGGCCUAUAAUAUAAAGAAACUUUAACAGACAACGAAGCUGAAGAAAAUAGUCAAGUCACAUUUAGCAAGCAGGAAAUUCGGAGCCAACAUGAUGCAAGAAACGUGGUCAACAACAAGGUAUAUUGCAUUGGGUGUACCACAAGGAUCUGUAACAGGCCUAUUGAUGUUGUUUAGGAUAUCCCAAACACGAUAAACAAGAUAGCCCAGUUCAAAUAUGACUAUGUUAUCUACUCUACUGUAAUGAAUAUUCAUUAUAGUACAUAAUUAUUA